rnacentral:lncRNA from 1 species
AAAACAUUUUAUUUGAUCAUGGAAAGUGACCAUGAACCUGUAAAUAGUCACGUUAUACAUUAUAUAUAUUAUAUAUAAUCAAUGUGACUCCUAUGUUACCUGCUUCUCAUAUUUUUCUUUUCCUUUUCUGAUUUUAUAGAUUUCCUUUAAAUGUGUUUCAGGCAUAUACAAACAUGCAUGUACAGAUAAAUGUUGAUAGUUGUAUAAACCCAUGUUCAAGCUGAUGAAUAUAUGCAUCACCCCAAAACGUCCUCAUGCUGUUUGUCCUCUGAACGACCAGCUCCUUUACACAGGCGCCAGGCAACACCGGAUUCACUUUCUGUAAAACUCAGCUACCUUUCUGCUCAAGGCUCAGUAAAAACAGAUCCAUACAAUCUGUCCUUUAUAACUUGCCUCUUUCACUUAGCAUAAUGAUUUUUCUAACAUUAAAUUUUUUAAGCAUUGAACAUUAAUAAUAACUGAUUUAGCCCUUAUUUUAAAUGUGUGUAUGAGCGCUUUGGCUAAGUGCAUAUCUGUGUAGAAGUAGUUGAGACAGUGAGACGAGCAAAAAUCUGCCAGCAGCAGCCGAGGACCAAACAUUAGCAGAAGGAGCUCCGACUCCUGGUUCCUGCCACACAGUCAGCAAGGACUCACUUGAGAGCCUUUUGCUUUGCUGUUUGUUUUGUUUGGAGGGAGGGGCUGAGACUCGGUCUUACUCUGUAACCUAGAGUCACUAAAUUCAUAAAAUCUCUCCCUACCCCGUGGACUCCCUGUGUGAGCCACCACACGCAGCUCACUCAGCUGGUUUGAAGGACUUUUCUGACAGAGGCACAGUCGUCCUUUUGCAGGUUACAUACAGCAGCUUCCCUUAUGACUGUUUUAACUCCUGCCGGAGCGAUCAGGAUACGGUCCUUCGGGGUUCGACUUUUGAUAUUCCCCAAGAUGCUUUUCGAGAGACGGAGCGGUGGUAAGAGUCUCAACUCCCACUGUUCACGGGACCAUUGGGGGGAAAAACUCACUGUUCUAUUGGCUCAAUAGCGACGCUUAAUUAAUGGGGUUUAUCAAAUGUAUUUUGACCUAAGAUAUUUUCGACUUUCAAUAGCGUAUCAGGAAGUUACCCCAUUGUAAGUUAUGGAAUAGUUAUUGCAAAGGU